GGGAAUUUUCCGCAAUGGGCGAAAGCCUGACGGAGCAACGCCGCGUGAGGGAUGAAGGCCUUUGGGCUGUAAACCUCUUUUCUCAAGGAAGAAGACCUGACGGUACUUGAGGAAUAAGCCACGGCUAAUUCCGUGCCAGCAGCCGCGGUAAUACGGGAGUGGCAAGCGUUAUCCGGAAUUAUUGGGCGUAAAGCGUCCGCAGGCGGCCUUGUAAGUCUGUUGUUAAAGCGUGGAGCUCAACUCCAUUUGAGCAAUGGAAACUACAAGGCUUGAGUGUGGUAGGGGCAGAGGGAAUUCCCGGUGUAGCGGUGAAAUGCGUAGAUAUCGGGAAGAACACCAGUGGCGAAGGCGCUCUGCUGGGCCAUAACUGACGCUCAUGGACGAAAGCCAGGGGAGCGAAAGGGAUUAGAUACCCCUGUAGUCA
rnacentral:rRNA from 1 species